rnacentral:rRNA from 1 species
UGGCUCAGGACGAACGCUGGCGGCGUGCCUAACACAUGCAAGUCGAGCGGAGACAUUUGAGUAGCAAUACGAGGAUGUUUAGCGGCGGACGGGUGAGUAACGCGUGAGCAACCUGUCCCAAACAGGGGGAUAACGAACCGAAAGGUUCACUAAUACCGCAUAAGACCACGGAGUCACAUGGCUUUGAGGUCAAAGGAGAAAUCCGGUUUGGGGUGGGCUCGCGUCUGAUUAGCUAGUUGGUGAGGUAACGGCCCACCAAGGCGACGAUCAGUAGCCGACCUGAGAGGGUGAUCGGCCACAUUGGAACUGAGACACGGUCCAAACUCCUACGGGAGGCAGCAGGUGGGGAAUAGUUGGGCAAUGGGGGAAAAACCCCCUGACCCAGCAACGCCGCGUGAAGGAAGAAGGUUUUCGGAUCGUAAACUUCUAUCCUUGGUGAAAAUAAUGAUGGUAGCCAAGAAGGAAGCCCCGGCUAACUACGUGCCAGCCGCAGC